GCUAUUUAAAAAUAAUAUAUAGUGUAGCCUGGUCAGUGGUUAUUUAAUAUUUAAAUAAUUAAACACACGCCUUAAUAGGGUGAUAAUGUAGCAUAAUAAUUUGACAUUUAAUUGGUGUAUUGUAUGAAUGGUAUGAUGAUUCUUUCUUUGUCUCAAUAUUAUAGUUAAAUAAAUUAAAAUAAUUAUAAAAAUAUAGUUUAAAAAAUAUAAGACGAAAAGACCCCAUAAACCUUUACUAAAUAUUGUUUAACUGGGAUGGUUAUCUUUUAAAAUAACAAAGAUUUUUUAUAAUUUUCAAAUAUGAAUGUAUUGACCAUUUUUUAAAAAAAAUAUAAAAAGAUAAUAGGUACUUUGGGGGUAACAGAGCAAUGUAUUAUUGAAGAUGAUAUUUGAUAAUAAGUUUGCUACCUCGAUGUUGAAUUAAAUUUUCCAGAGGCGUAGAAGCUGAUAAGGUGGGACUGUUCGUCCUUUAAAAAUUU
rnacentral:rRNA from 1 species